rnacentral:lncRNA from 1 species
AUGUCGAUGGCGAUGAGUUCGAUCUCCGGCCGCCGCCCCGCCGCGUGCAUGAGCUGGAGGAGGUGCCCGGCGAGUUUCGGGCAUGUUGGCGAUGCCGUCGUGCGUGAGCAGCGUGACGACGUCAAUAGCACGAGGCAGAUGACGGUCAGCUUGAUGGCGCCGUCGUUCUUGGCGUGGCGGCACGCGAACUCCACCGACUCCCGGUCGUCGGGGCCGCCGAGGAAGACGGCGGUGAUCUGGGUCCCCAUCUUCUGGUCGUCUUGGUUCCUCGCCGCCGUCGUCUCUUCGCUUGUUGAUAUCUUGGUCGGCAGCUGGAAGCUGGCGCCGACGGUGCACGGGGCAAGCUCGAGCACCUUGCGGUUGAGCUCGCGGCAA